rnacentral:lncRNA from 1 species
UAGAGCCACCCCUCCUAGAACCUUAUCCAUGAUAUGCUCCAAACUCAUCUCUGUUGGACUUUUCCUCUCCACUUGACCACCACCCAUUAUCCCUCCAACAUGAUCUCUAAUGUGCCCUUGUCGUGCACUCAUGUCUAGAUGUUGAUGGUCCUCGUGCUCCUCAGCAGCAAUCUCCUAAAGUAAGUAUGAUACAUGGAUGUGAAAUGGUAAAAUAUCAUCACAUGUAUUUAAUUGU